AACUAACGCUAUAUAAGUAUCAGUUUCUGUACUAUAUUGGUAUGAGAAGCUUCCGGAUCACGUUAUUCGGCGAAAUUUUUGGAGAAGGGCGGUGCCCUUG
rnacentral:misc_RNA from 1 species